UGCUGCGGCGGCUACCAUGCAGUCGAGGGGUAUAGCACUUCGGUGCUAGAGACCGGCGCACGGGUGCGUAACGCGUAUGCAAUCUGCCUUUCACAGAGGGAUAGCCCAGAGAAAUUUGGAUUAAUACCUCAUAGUAUUAUAGAGCGGCAUCACUUUAUAAUUAAAGUCACAACGGUGAAAGAUGAGCAUGCGUCCCAUUAGCUAGUUGGUAAGGUAACGGCUUACCAAGGCCACGAUGGGUAGGGGUCCUGAAAGGGAGAUCCCCCACCCUGGUACUGAGACCCGGACCAAACUCCUACGGGAGGGAGCAGUGGGGAAUAUUGGUCAAUGGACGCAAGUCUGAACCAGCCAUGCCGCGUGCAGGAUGACGGGCCUAUGGAUUGUAAACUGCUUUUGUACGAAAAGAAACACUCCUAUGUAUAGGAGCUUGACGGUAUCGUAACAAUAAGGAUCGGCUAACUCCGUGCCAGCACCCGCGGUAAUACGGAGGAUCCAAGCGUUAUCCGGAAUCAUUGGGUUUAAAGGGUCCGUAUGCGGUUUAGUAAGUCAGUGGUGAAAGCCCAUCCCUCAACGGUGGAACGGCCAUUGAUACUGCUGAACUUGAAUUACUGGGAAGUAACUAGAAUAUGAAUUGUACGGUGAAAUGCUUAUAUAUUACAUGGAAUACCAAUUGCGAAGGCAGGUUACUACCAGUUUAUUGACGCUGAUGGACGAAAGCGUGGGGAGCGAACAGGAUUAGAUACCCUGGUACUGCACGCCGACAACGAUGGAUACUAGCUGUUGGUCGCGAGUUCACUGUGUAACCGAAAGUGAUAAAUAUCCCACCUGGGGACUACUAACGCAAGCUUGAAACUCGAGGAAUUGACAGGGAGCCCGCACAGACGCGGAGCAUGUGGGUUAAUUCGAUGAUACUCGAGGAACCUUAACAAGGCUUACUGCAUACUGACUGAUUGGAUACAGAUCAUUUCGCCAUACUGUUCACAAGAGGCUGCAUGGAUGUCGUCUGCUCGUGUCGCUGACGUGUCAGGGUAAGUCCUAUAACGAUCGCAACCCCUGUUAGUAGUUGCCAUGCGAGUAUUGUCCGGAACUUCCUACAGGACUGCCAUGUGCAAAAUUGCUGAUGAAAGCGCGGGAAUGGACGUUCGAAUUCAUUCACCGGC
rnacentral:rRNA from 1 species